UUUUUUUUUUUUUUUUUUUUGCCAGAGUUUCGCUCUUGUCACCUAGGCUAGAGUGCAGUGGCACAAUCUCAGCUCACUGCAACCUCCACCUCCUGGGUUCAAGCAAUUCUCCUGCCUCAGCCUCCCAAAUAGCUGGGAUUACAGGUGCCUGCCACCACAUCUAGCUUCGUGUUUUUAGUAGAGAAUGGGUUUCACCAUGUUGGCCAGGCUGGUCUUGAACUCUUGACCUCAGGUAAUCUGCCCUCCUCAGCCUCCCAAAGUGCUGGGAUUACAGGUGUGAGCCACCGCGCCCGAUCCUCUAAUGAUUUCUUAAACCCACUGCAGCUGGGGUUUUAGCUCCUGCCACUCCACCACAAUUACUGUGAUCAAGGCUGCCGAUGACUGCCUCCUGGCUAGAGUCAAUAGUCAGAUUCCCAGCCUUCAUCCUACUUGACAUAGCACGAGCAUUUCACAAAGUGGACCACUCCAUUUUUGGGUGAACUUUCUUUUCUAGGCUUCGAAGACACCACACUGUUGACUUUCUUCCUACCUCACUGGUUAUGCCUUCUUCGCCUCCUUGGCUUGUUCCUCCUGCUUCCCUUGGAGUGCCCCAGGGAUCAGUCUUAGCCUUUUUAUCCCUUCACCCUCUACACCCUCUUGCUGAUCUCAUUUGGACUUACAGCUUUAAAUAACAUCUACAUGCUGAUAACUCCCAAAUUUUUCUCUCUAGCCCAGACUUCUUUCCCAAACACCAGAUGUAUCUAUUUUACUGCCUAAUCAAAAUUUCCACGGGAUGUCUAAUUUUUAUUUCAAACUCAACAUGUCCAAAACAGAAUACUUUUUCUUCCACUACAAAUCUGCCCCACUUCUAGCCUUCCUCAUCUUAGUUGAUGGAAACUCCAUCCUCCCAGCUGCUCAGGCAAGACUUUUGAGUCACUGUGACUCUUCUCUUUCUCUCACUCCCCAUUGUCAAUCCUUUAGGAAAGUCUAUUGGCUUUUCCUCUAAAAUAUAUCAGAAUCUACCAUCACUCUGGUCCAAGCCACCAUCAUCUCUAAUCUAGAAUAGUGAAAUUACCUCCUAACAGAUCUCCCAGCUUAAAUGCAUUAAACAUAGCAGUCAGAAUGAUCUUUUGAAAUGCCAGGUAGAGCAUACUAUGUUUCUGUUCAAGAUCCUCAAUGACUUUCUAGUUUACCCAUAGGAAAAGUUAUUACAAUGACCUAUGAGGCCCACAUGGUCUGGCACCCUCCCCUCCUUCUGACCAUAACUCUGCUCCAGUACUGCUAGUUCGUUUACUGUUUCUUGACCUCAUCACCUAGGGUUGCUUCUUUAGCUGUGCCCUCUGCCUGGAAUACUUUUCCUCCAGAUAGCUGCGGGCUAACUUCCUCAACUUCUUCAAGUCUUUGCUCACAUCUCAUUUGCAUAAUGAAGCCUAUUCAGAUCACACUGUUUAUGACCUCACCCUAACCUCUACUCUCACCUAGCACUGUUGAUCCCACUCAGUCUGCUCUACUUUUCAUUAAUUCCAUAUCUUCUAUUACCCAACGCUGAUUUAUUUUUUAAUUUUCUAUAUUCUUUCUACUGGAAUA
ensembl:lncRNA